GGGUGACGAAGCGACGCCGCGUGGGUGAGGAAGGCCCUCGGGUUGUAAAGCCCUGUCAGGAGUUAAGAAAUGUAGGUACGCUAAUAUCGUAUCUAUUUGACAAAGGCCCCAAAGGAAGCCACGGCUAACUCUGUGCCAGCAGCCGCGGUAAUACAGGGGUGGCAAGCGUUGUUCGGAAUUAUUGGGCGUAAAGAGCACGUAGGUGGAUUUGUAAGUCAGAUGUGAAAGCCUUCUGUUCAACGGAAGAAUUGCAUCUGAAACUACAAACCUUGAGUAUAGGAGGGGAGAAUGGAACUUCUGGUGGAGCGGUGAAAUGCGUAGAUAUCAGAAGGAACGCCGGCGGCGAAAGCGAUUCUCUGGCCUAUUACUGACACUCAGUGUGCGAAAGCUAGGGGAGCAAACGGGAUUAGAUACCCCGGUAGUCCUAGCCGUAAACGAUGGGCACUAAGUAGAGG
rnacentral:rRNA from 1 species